GAUGAACGCUGGCGGCGUGCCUAAUACAUGCAAGUCGAGCGAACAGACGAGGAGCUUGCUCCUCUGACGUUAGCGGCGGACGGGUGAGUAACACGUGGAUAACCUACCUAUAAGACUGGGAUAACUUCGGGAAACCGGAGCUAAUACCGGAUAAUAUAUUGAACCGCAUGGUUCAAUAGUGAAAGACGGUUUUGCUGUCACUUAUAGAUGGAUCCGCGCCGCAUUAGCUAGUUGGUAAGGUAACGGCUUACCAAGGCAACGAUGCGUAGCCGACCUGAGAGGGAGAUUGGGCACACGGGAAGUGAGACACGGUCCAGACUCCUACGGGAGGAAGCAGUAGGGAAUCUUCCGCAAUGGGCGAAAGCCUGACGGAGCAACGCCGCGUGAGUGAUGAAGGUCUUCGGAUCGUAAAACUCUGUUAUUAGGGAAGAACAAAUGUGUAAGUAACUAUGCACGUCUUGACGGUACCUAAUCAGAAAGCCACGGCUAACUACGUG
rnacentral:rRNA from 1 species